ACCCUCAAAGUUCGCGCCCUCCGACGGAUCAAGUGAUUCGGCUGAUGAGGGAUCGGAUCAGCCCAGUUCGAAGACCUUUACUGUAGAAUCAGUUCGGCUGAAUAAGCCGAAUGUACGGAAUGUACAGUAGUUUGGGUCGGCUGAAGAGCCGAAUGCCCUUAUAUAUAGAAAUUAGAUUUGGAAACUUGUACAAAAGAGAGUGUGCCUGUGCGGCAUACAGACUCCAGAAAUCUAACUUAAAACUAAUUCUAAGAAAUACAGUAAAUGCGGGAAUGGAAAAGAUUACAAGUUAGACUAUUCCUAGGAAUGUAAGGAAAAUGCGUAGAAAUUGAAAAGUGGUCUUCUAUUCGCUAGAAAAAGACCCCUCCUUCAGGUGUUACUCGCCUAUUUAUAUUCCGCUUAUUAUUGUUUGAUUAUAUACACUGUUGGAUAAAAUUAAUUAAAUACCCAAAAUCAAUCGUCGCAAAAAUCACAUAAAUUUUUACAUACCUCUUUAUGGUGCGGAAUUAAUAUUGUGAUUAUCAGGAUCUGAUCUCGUCUUGUUUUACGAACUCGUUGAUCCGCCAACGUCCUGUCUCAAUUUGUUGCACGUUGUUCUUACUCGUUGCAAUUCGGCUACUAGAGUCGAACCCCGCACACCGCCCAAAUCCCUAGGGUUUCAGAUGGUGCCCUAGAACGAACACAAGAGAGAAUUUUUGGUGGAGAGAUGAUUCCCUUUUUUUUUUGUUGUCUUUCUUAUGUCGUAUAUGGUCAAUACCUCAUGUAUUUAUAGGGCAUAAGGAAGAUAUUAAUCCUAAUCAUAUUCUAACUAAAUCUCACAUAGAUAGAGAUUUAAACAUAUCAGGAUUUAUCUGUUAGAUUUAUUCUUUAUUCCAAGUGGACUAGGAAUAUAACAGAUAAUUAUAAAUAUUUAUUUCUUAUCCCAUAUGGAUUAGAAAUAUUUUAGAUAAGUCCUAAUGUGGACGAAUCCUAAUAUCUCCCACUCGUACACACUUGGUACUUAUUCAUACUUUCUCAUCCCAAAUAUAUUCUCAUCUCGUUCUGCUCUUCAUACGGGAAAUGAUUGGUGCGAUCAAUAACGAGAAGAAUCAUAAGUGAGGAGUGUUAUAUUAAGCCACCAUCCGAACUAACAUAACACUACAACUCCAAAUCUCGUCUAUAACCCAAAU
rnacentral:lncRNA from 1 species